rnacentral:rRNA from 1 species
CCGCUACCACGCGAGUGGAUGCCAAUCCCUAAAACCCCUCUCAGUUCGGACUGGAGUCUGCAACCCGACUCCACGAAGCUGGAUUCGCUAGUAAUCGCGCAUCAGCCACGGCGCGGUGAAUACGUUCCCGGGCCUUGUACACACCGCCCGUCAAGCCAUGGGAGCCGGGGUACCUGAAGUGCGUAACCGCGAGGAUCGCCCUAGGGUAAAACUGGUGACUGGGGCUAAGUCGUAACAAGGUAGC